rnacentral:rRNA from 1 species
UACGAGAGGCCCAAACGUUAUUCGGAAUUACUGGGCUUAAAGAGUUCGUAGGCGGCGCAGCAAGUAGGGUGUGAAAGCCCUCGGCUCAACCGAGGAAUUGCGCUCUAAACUACUGUGCUUGAGGAAGCUAGAGGUGAGCAGAACUGAUGGUGGAGCGGUGAAAUGCGUUGAUAUCAUCAGGAAUACCGGAGGCGAAGGCGGCUCACUGGGGCUUUUCUGACGCUGAGGAACGAAAGCCAGGGUAGCGAACGGG